AACGCGAAGAACCUUACCUGGGCUCGAACGGCUUUGGAUCAUCUUUGGAAACAGAGACUUCUCGCAAGAGACCGGAGUCGAGGUGCUGCAUGGCUGUCGUCAGCUCGUGUCGUGAGAUGUUGGGUUAAGUCCCGCAACGAGCGCAACCCUUGUCCUGUGUUGCCACUCCCCUUAAAAGGAAGCACUCUCAGGAGACCGCCAGGGAUAACCUGGAGGAAGGUGGGGAUGAUGUCAAGUCAUCAUGGCCUUUAUGUCCAGGGCUACACACGUGCUACAAUGGACGGUACAAAACGCUGCAAACCCGCGAGGGGGAGCUAAUCGCUAAAAACCGUUCUCAGUUCGGAUCGCAGGCUGCAACUCGCCUGCGUGAAGCUGGAAUCGCUAGUAAUGGCGUAUCAGAACGACGCCGUGAAUACGUUCCCGGGCCUUGUA
rnacentral:rRNA from 1 species